UAUCAAACGUCGCAAACCAGAGAAAAAGAAGAUUUUGCCUUAAAUUAUUGCGUUAAUAACGUAAGAGUAGAUUAAAUAUCGCCAAAAUGCAGUAAUAACAUGACACAGUGGACUGGGACGCUGUACAAGCCACAACAGCUACAAAACAACAAGAAAAAAACAAAGAUAAAGUUUUAACGAAGAAGCGAUUUUGAAGAAAAUAGAAGUUAGAAAGAUGGUGAUCGAUGCAGGAAGUAAUUCGGGCAGCAAUUCGGCCAAUAUGCCACCGACGGGCAUGACACCGAAGGAGCUCUCGGAUAACGAUGAUUUGGCGACGGCGCUCGUUUUGGACCCCAUUUUGGGAUUUCAGUCACACAAGAUGAAUUGUCGUUUUCGGGCGUUGCGACCGAUAAACUCGAAUGCCAUCCGGGAGAUUAUUGAGGAGUUUAUUAAGACACAAAAUUAUCAGGAGACGUACGAUAAACUCAUGAAGGGCGAUUGGAUUGCACGAAGUAUUACGAAUAGGAGUAAAGUGGCACAUAAGCGGUUGCAGGGACAUAUUUAUCGAUACCUCCGAGUAUUUGACCGUGAAUCAGGCUUUGUGAUAGAACCGUGUUUCCGCUACAGUCUCGAAGAUCAAAAGGGAGCGAAGAUUUCCGCAACCAAAAAAUGGUUCAAGAACGAAAAAAUCGAAUAUCUCGUCGGAUGCAUUGCCGAACUGUCCGAAGCGGAGGAACAAGCAUUAUUACGUCCCGGCAAAAACGAUUUUUCCGUCAUGUACUCGUGUCGCAAAAAUUGUGCCCAACUGUGGCUCGGUCCUGCGGCUUACAUCAACCACGAUUGUCGCGCCAACUGCAAAUUUGUUGCUACGGGACGCGACACGGCAUGCGUAAAAGUGCUGCGAGACAUCGAAAUUGGCGAGGAAAUCACCUGUUUCUAUGGCGAAGACUUUUUCGGCGACAAUAAUCGGUAUUGCGAAUGCGAAACUUGCGAAAGACGAGGCACGGGAGCUUAUGCAAAGGACAAACAAGGCGAGGAAGUGUCACCGGGCGGUUAUAGACUGCGCGAAACGGACAACAGAAUAAAUCGGUUCAAGAGUAACACGGGAAAUAACGGGACAAAUGGCACGAAUAACGGCGGAUUAAAGGUCACCACGUCGACGGAGGUUCAAUUGACGCCGUUAACGCUGAAGGAACUGCGACAAAAGGGUUUGACGAAAUACGAUGCCGAGAUGAUAAUCGCGCAACAUCCGAAUUUGAGCAUUCAUGACGUUUCGUCGACGACGACGCCAACAACGCGACAUGCCACACGAAAAAACUCGCGUGUCAACAGCACGGGAAGCAACACAAGUACUUGCAGCAGUAACACGAACGAAUCUAAUACGAUACUGCACACGCGAAAAUCAAAGCGACUCACGACGACGCAAGAAUCCACGAAAAAUCCGACGCGGAAACGGAGAAGACGUGGCAGAUCGCCGCCUGUCGCGCAGCCCCCGACAAAGUUACAAACGACGCGCAGCACGGUUUUGACGCCGUCCAAACUCGAUUCCGUGGUUGCGAACCGAAAUUCCUCGAACAGUAGUCUAAGUGAUUUAAGUACUGCCGCUGUGAUUGCUUCUUCCAUGCAUAGCAACGACGAUCUCUCGGUGUCGAGUGUCAGCAGCAUCAGUUCGAGCUCCGGCAUCGGGUCGAUGGUGCAAGAACAGCUGCCAAACAAGCCGGAAGAAAGGAAGAAACCUUAUCCGCUGAGAUCGAGCCAACAAAAAUCCACAGAUUUAGCGUCAUCGCCUUCAAAUGACUUGUUCAAAAGUCGCGAGAAUUUGACUGAAAAACUGCAUGAAAUUCAAGAUUCGACGGAAACGACGGGGGAACGUCAGAGAAGGAGAAAGCCAUUGCGAACAACAAGAUACUCACCAUCGGAUCCAAAAACAGUUUCAAUGUCGCCUUCAUCGCAAUUGUUCACGUUUCAACAGCAAAAAUUCAACUUGCAAAAGCUUCAAAAUGGAAAUUUGUUCGCUAAACUGAACAAUUCGUCAGCAACAUCCACAGGAACGACGACAACAACGACACACGAUCCGUACAGCAUCGAUCAUUUGGAUGACGAUGACGACGAAAUACUUAAAAGUUCUCCGUCUGCCAGUCGCAAACGCAAAAGUGUAAGUGAGUCCGAGAGCAGUAGUUCGUGGGAAAAUAAAUUGCCGGACAGCAACUCGAUGACCUUCAUCAAUGAUGAGACAGACGGAAGCAAUGCGAGUGUCACGGGCGACAAACCUUUGCUAAAAACGCCCGAACGCCGUCUCAAAUUGACGUUGCGCAUGAAACGGAGUCCCAUCAUCGAUGAGCUCAUCGAGUCCGGCACCAAUCUGAGCGACGAGAGUUCAGGCAGUAAUUAUGAGCCGGAAUACGAGGUGUUGCGUGUUGAGGGCGUCGAUAACGAUGACGACGAUCUGAGUGACGGCCGGAGCGAAGAGUCGUCGGGCAAACGCAAAAAAAGUCGACACAAGUCAAAAGACCACCAUCGACAUCAUCACCAUCACCACAGACACAAGGAAAAGCAUUUGCAGCACAACACUUGCUACUACAAUGCAAGUGGUGGCGGCGACGGCGAAUUGUCGCCCGUUUCACGCAGAUCUCCACAUCAGAACACAGCAUUUGUUAAUGCGGCACAGGCAAAACCCACCCAAAUGAAACGACUUCGCCUAAUCUUUGGCAAUGAGCAACUCUGUCGUACUAUUAACAUUCCGUCAUCCGAUCAAAGUUUAGGCGAGUUGUCGUCGCCAACAACUAACUCCUCUGCAGCCGCUGCACUGGCAACCGCCAUCAAGCCAGAAAUUCCUACAAAUUGACAUCGUGCCUGGGCUCAUGUUAAAUUCUAUUUUGGUUCCAUUCGUGGUUUCUUUAAAUAAGGCGGGAAUCGCAUCCUUUUCCAGCGAGACAUCGACUGCUCUCUUCAUUUAUUUAUUUGCUUUUAAUUGUUCAAUUUCACAUUUCAUUCACGAGCAGUCUGUUUCUCGUGCCAACACGAGUUAUUUUUUAGAGAAAAAGAAGAAACUGAUAGAAAUCUGUGUGAUAUAAUUCAUCGUCUCAUAAUUACUGCCAAACUUAACGCUUAGAAAUCUAUAAAAAAAAAUAUUUUUUCUUCAUAAAAACACAAAAAUUCAGUAAAAAUGGGAGAUAUUUUUUUUUUCUUUUUUUUUUAAAUUCGAAAAUCACAUAAAAUUCAUUCGUUAGUUGUAUAAGUAGUAACGAAACAUUUAACACUUGUAUUUGAAAAUAAUUUCAAACAAUUGCUAGAAAAUAUUAGUUGAUAAAAAAACAGAAGUAAAAUGUAAGCUAAGCUUGGUAAUAAAAAUAAAAUGAUAUAAA